rnacentral:tRNA from 1 species
UCCCUGGUGAUCUAGUGGUUAGGAUUUGGUACUUUCACUGCUGUGGCCUGGGUUCAAUCCCUGGUGGGGGAA